GAUGAACGCUAGCGACAGGCCUAACACAUGCAAGUCGAGGGGCAGCGGAGAGGUAGCAAUACCUUUGCCGGCGACCGGCGCACGGGUGAGUAACACGUAUGCAAUCCACCUGUAACAGGGGGAUAACCCGGAGAAAUCCGGACUAAUACCCCAUAAUAUGGGCGCUCCGCAUGGAGGGUCCAUUAAAGAGAGCAAUUUUGGUUACAGACGAGCAUGCGCUCCAUUAGCCAGUUGGCGGGGUAACGGCCCACCAAAGCGACGAUGGAUAGGGGUUCUGAGAGGAAGGUCCCCACAUUGGAACUGAGACACGGUCCAAACUCCUACGGGAGGCAGCAGUUGAGGAAUAUUGGGUCAAUGGUCGGCAGACUGAACCAGCCAAGUCGCGUGAGGGAAGACGCCCUACGGGUUGUAAAAACCCUCUUUUGUCGGAGA
rnacentral:rRNA from 1 species